UCACUGGUGAUUCAUGAUAACCUUUCGAAUCGCACGGCCCUGCGCCGGCGAUGGUUCAUUCAAAUUUCUGCCCUAUCAACUUUCGACUUUAGUGUAGUGGACUAAAGUGGUUGCAACGGGUAACGGAGGGUUAGGGCUCGACCCCGGAGAAGGAGCCUGAGAAACGGCUACUACAUCCAAGGAAGGCAGCAGGCGCGCAAAUUACCCAAUCCCGACACGGGGAGGUAGUGACAAUAAAUACUGAUACAGGGCUCUUUCGGGUCUUGUAAUUGGAAUGAGUACAAUUUAAAUCCCUUAACGAGGAACAAUUGGAGGGCAAGUCUGGUGCCAGCAGCCGCGGUAAUUCCAGCUCCAAUAGCGUAUAUUAAAGUUGUUGUGGUUAAAAAGCUCGUAGUUGAACCUGGGCCCCGCGCCCGCCGGUCCGCCUCACCGCGUGCACUGGCGCGGCCGGGGCUUUCACUUGGGGAACCGCAUGCCCUUCGCUGGGCGUGUGCGGAACCAGGACCUUUACUGUGAAAAAAUUAGAGUGUUCAAAGCAGGCCUAUGCUCGAAUACAUUAGCAUGGAAUAAUAGAAUAGGACGCGCGGUUCUAUUUUGUUGGUUAUGGGACCGCCGUAAUGAUUAAUAGGGUCAGUCGGGGGCAUCAGUAUUCAAUAGUCAGAGGUGAAAUUCUUGGAUUUAUUGAAGACUAACUA
rnacentral:rRNA from 1 species